rnacentral:rRNA from 1 species
ACGCUGGCGGCGUGCCUAAUACAUGCAAGUCGAACGAGAGCGACCGGUGCUUGCACUGGUCAAUCUAGUGGCGAACGGGUGAGUAACACGUGGGUAACCUGCCCAUCAGAGGGGGAUAACAUUCGGAAACGGAUGCUAAAACCGCAUAGGUCCUUUAACCGCAUGGUUGAAGGAGGAAAAGAGGCGCAAGCUUCUGCUGAUGGAUGGACCCGCGGUGCAUUAGCUAGUUGGUGAGGUAACGGCUCACCAAGGCCGUGAUGCAUAGCCGACCUGAGAGGGUGAUCGGCCACAUUGGGACUGAGACACGGCCCAAACUCCUACGGGAGGCAGCAGUAGGGAAUCUUCCGCAAUGGACGCAAGUCUGACGGAGCAACGCCGUGUGAGUGAAGAAGGUUUUCGGAUCGUAAAACUCUGUUGUUAGAGAAGAACAAGUGCUAGAGUAACUGUUAGCGCCUUGACGGUAUCUAACCAGAAAGCCACGGCUAACUACGUGCCAGCAGCCGCGGUAAUACGUAGGUGGCAAGCGUUGUCCGGAUUUAUUGGGCGUAAAGCGAGCGCAGGCGGUUCCUUAAGUCUGAUGUGAAAGCCCCCGGCUCAACCGGGGAGGGUCAUUGGAAACUGGGGAACUUGAGUGUAGAAGAGGAGAGUGGAAUUCCAUGUGUAGCGGUGAAAUGCGUAGAUAUAUGGAGGAACACCAGUGGCGAAGGCGACUCUCUGGUCUGUAACUGACGCUGAGGCUCGAAAGCGUGGGUAGCAAACAGGAUUAGAUACCCUGGUAGUCCACGCCGUAAACGAUGAGUGCUAAGUGUUGGAGGGUUUCCGCCCUUCAGUGCUGCAGUUAACGCAUUAAGCACUCCGCCUGGGGAGUACGACCGCAAGGUUGAAACUCAAAGGAAUUGACGGGGACCCGCACAAGCGGUGG